CAGCAGAGCUUCGUUUUUCCUGUUUUUCUCGCAACUAGCAAAGGCAGAAAAAGAAAAGGAAGCGCGGCUUCUAGAUCAUUGAAGGGUCAAAAUUAUGAGCAAGGCUGUUUGCGCGUGAACCACACCUACGUUUGAGGACGGGGAACGGAUUACUUAUUGCACCUAUGCCUAUGAUAAAAACGGAUGGUCAUGCCAAGCCGGCCCUCGUAUGCAAGCAUGCCAGAACCACAAGAUGACCAGAGCCCCCAAAAGUCUGACCCAAAUAAUGCCACGUCAAAAGAUGUAUGGUAUUCAACUACCAAGCAGUGCCAGCCCCUACCUGCCCCUCAGAUGGACAGCCUCUUUCAUGAAUAUCAGAAGAUUUAUAAGAAGUCACAUUUAUCCACAGAUGAACCAAAUGACUUGUGAACUAUAACUUGAAUGUAUAUUUUUCUGAGUUUUUUUUAACUCUGCUCAAAGUGAAAUUGUCCUUGUACUGUAUCUGCAGAGAUUAAGCCUGUGUUUAUUUUUAUAUUGUUUACAACCUUGGAGGAGAUUCAGGUCUCAUUCCAAUUUCCUGCUAUAUGCUCCCCCCCCCCCCCCCCC